UGUAAGCGUAUACCAAAGUUGUUGCAGUUAAAACGCCCGUAGUCGGAAUUUGGCAGUUCCGGAAGUGUGCACGUCGUGUGCGCACUUUGCGGGGACUGCUUUUGUGGUCUUGCGUAGGAUGAGGCACUUUCAUUAGUGAACGUCCUCACGCAACCACUCUUUACUGUGAGAAAAUCAGAGUGCUCAAAGCAGGCAUUUGCCGUGAAUGUAUUAGCAUGGAAUAAUAGAAUAGGACUCGGUUCUAUUUUGUUGGUUUGUUGGGACUGAGUAAUGAUUAAGAGGGACAGUUGGGGGCAUUUGUAUUCCGGCGCUAGAGGUGAAAUUCUUAGAUUGCCGGAAGACAAACUGCUGCGAAAGCGUCUGCCAAGGAUGUUUUCAUUGA
rnacentral:rRNA from 1 species